rnacentral:rRNA from 2 species
GGACUACACGGGUAUCUAAUCCCGUUUGCUCCCCUGGCUUUCGUGCAUGAGCGUCAGGAACUGUCCAGAGACCCGCCUUCGCCACCGGUGUUCUAGUCGAUCUCUACGCAUUUCACCGCUACACCGACUAUUCCAGUCUCCUCUCCAGCCCUCGAGCCCGCUAGUUUCGAAUGACCUAUCACAGUUAGGCUGUGAGCUUUCACAUCCGACUUAACGGACCGCCUGCGCACCCUUUACGCCCAAUGAAUCCGAACAACGCUCGCCGUCUCUGUAUUACCGCGGCGGCUGGCAC